rnacentral:rRNA from 1 species
UACGUAGGGUGCAAGCGUUAAUCGGAAUUACUGGGCGUAAAGCGUGCGCAGGCGGUUUGUUAAGACAGAUGUGAAAUCCCCGGGCUUAACCUGGGAACUGCAUUUGUGACUGGCAAGCUAGAGUAUGGCAGAGGGGGGUAGAAUUCCACGUGUAGCAGUGAAAUGCGUAGAGAUGUGGAGGAAUACCGAUGGCGAAGGCAGCCCCCUGGGCCAAUACUGACGCUCAUGCACGAA